UACGGGGGGGGCAAGCGUUGUUCGGAAUUACUGGGCGUAAAGGGUUCGUAGGUGGCCAACUAAGUCAGACGUGAAAUCCCUCGGCUUAACCGGGGAACUGCGUCUGAUACUGGAUGGCUUGAAUUUGGGAGAGGGACGCGGAAUUCCAGGUGUAGCGGUGAAAUGCGUAGAUAUCUGGAGGAACACCGGUGGCGAAGGCGGCGUCCUGGACCAACACUGACACUGAGGAGCGAAAGCCAGGGGAGCAAACGGG
rnacentral:rRNA from 1 species